rnacentral:rRNA from 1 species
ACAGCAGUAGCCGCGGGAAUACAGAGGGUGCGAGCGUUAAUCGGAUUUACUGGGCGUAAAGCGUGCGUAGGCGGCUUUUUAAGUCGGAUGUGAAAUCCCUGAGCUUAACUUAGGAAUUGCAUUCGAUACUGGGAAGCUAGAGUAUGGGAGAGGAUGGUAGAAUUCCAGGUGUAGCGGUGAAAUGCGUAGAGAUCUGGAGGAAUACCGAUGGCGAAGGCAGCCAUCUGGCCUAAUACUGACGCUGAGGUACGAAAGCAUGGGGAGCAAACAGGAUUAGAUACCCGCGUAGUCCCUGUCUCUUAUAC